GGACUACCGGGGUUUCUAAUCCCGUUUGCUCCCCUGGCCUUCGUGCCUCAGCGUCAGUGACUGUCCAGAGAUUCGCCUUCGCCACUGGUCUUCCUCACGAUAUCUACGCAUUUCACUGCUACACCGUGAAUUCCAAUCUCCUCUCCAGUACUCGAGCGGCGCAGUAUUGAAUGCAGUUCCGGGGUUAAGCCCCGGGAUUUCACAUCCAACUUGCACCACCGCCUACGCACCCUUUACGCCCAAUGAAUCCGAACAACGCUUGAGACCUCUGUAUUACCGCGGCUGCUGGCAC
rnacentral:rRNA from 1 species